AGGGCCACACACGUGCAACAAUGGCCGGUACAGACGGAGGCAAUGCCGAGAGGCGGAGCAAACCCGAGAAAACCGGUCCCAGUUCGGAUUGAGGUCUGCAACUCGACCUCAUGAAGUCGGAAUCGCUAGUAAUCGCAUAUCAGAACGAUGCGGUGAAUACGUUCCCGGGCCUUGUACACACCGCCCGUCACACCACGAAAGUUUGUUGUACCCGAAGUCGGUGCCUUAACCUCGCAAGAGGAGAGAGCCGCCCAAGGUAUGGCCGAUGAUUGGGUGAAGUCGUAACAAGGUAGCCGUAGGGGAACCUGCGGCUGGAUCACCUCCGUUUCCUAGGAGAGAAGGGUCCUGGAUGAAG
rnacentral:rRNA from 1 species